ensembl:lncRNA
GUAUUUGCUGGCCUCAGAGUUGAAACUUCUUGGGAUGGCUGGUUAAGACCUUGCCUUCCAAUGUGGGGGAUGUGGGUUUGAUCCCUGGUCAGGGAGCUAGCUAAGCUCCCACCUGCUUCAUGGCCAAAAAAACCCAAAACAUAACAACAAUGUAACAAAUUCAAGAAAGACUUUAAAAAUGGUCCACAUCACACACACACACACACACACACACACACACACACACACACACAAAUUUUUUUUUUAAGAAUUGAAACCUCUCUGGCCUGGCCUGUUCUAGAACCUGAGUGACGUGCAUGAUUCUAUUCUUCCCUAAGAUGUUUCCUGCCAGGAAGCUCCUGGACUCUCAUGGGUGUCAAGGCCUCUCUCUUCUAGACCUAGGUCCUGGUGAAGACACAGUCUGGCUAUUGGCAGAGCCCAGUCAGAGUCUCUGUUUUACAGUUGCCUUCUAUGCCUGCAAACCCACCUGUAGUACCUCUGUUGAAUCCCUUCAGACAGAUAGGCCCUCCUGGGACCACCCAUUUGACCUUUUAAAUUGCUUUCACUGCUAGAAAGUUCUUCCUUCAUUCACUUGACAAUUCUUUGUAGAAACCAUUCCUUAGUCUGAGACCCAGCCCUCUAUUCUGGGGACAGGCCAGGUGGGGGUCUCUGCUCACACAGAGUUUAAAUCUAAAUUGGGGGCGUGGAGGUAGAAAACACAGAGAAUACAAAUGAUAAUGAGAUGUUUGAAAAAAACUGAGCUUGGCGGGGAAGCUCCAGGAGGCAGAGGAUGAUACCUCGGAGGCUUCUCUGAGGAGGUGGUGUUCAGGGUGGAGACCUGGUCCACUGGGGACCAGAGGGAUCAACCAUGGGGAUGGUAAGGACAGAGGCUCCAAGAGCAGAAGAGUGAAUCUGGGAAGGAAGGCCCAUGGGCCUGGAACAGGCGCUGGGAAGGGACUUUGGCCUCCACUUAUGAAGGACGUGGGGCAGUGGGGAGGAAAGAAGUGGGAACUCUUGUUGUUCGGUCACUCAGUCACUCUUUGCAACCCCAUGGACUGCAGCAUGCCAGGCUUUCCUGUCCUUCACCAACUCCCGGAGUUUGCUCAGACUCAUGUCCAUUGAGUCGGUGAUGCCAUCCAACCAUCUCAUCCUCUGUCAUCCCCUUCUCUUCCUGCCUUCAAUCUUUCCCAGCUUCAGAGUCUUUUCCAGUGAGUCGGCUCUUCACAUCAAAGUACUGGAGCUUCAGCUUCAGAGUCCUCACUUUACAGGAAUCCUUCCUCUUUAGGGCAAAAACUGUCACCAUCUCCACCAGCAACACACUUCUCACCUCUCAUCAGCUGAUCCUUCUCCCCAGUACACCCCUCCACCCCAGCCUUCUGGCCCUGGGGAACGCCUCCUUAACUGUGAGAUCCCAUUCAAAAUUUCCCUCCUCUGAGAAGCUCCCACCUACAGGCAGAGGUGAUUGCUCCUCCCUGUCCUCCGAGGAGCUUUGUCCCCUCUGCUGGACAUUUCUCCCACUCUCAAGGUGACAGUAAGAGAGUGAGCUUGGAGGCAGACCCAGCCUGGCUCUACCUCAACAGCUGUGUGGCGUGGGAUAUUCAUUUCCUCUGCUGUUGUUUAGUCACUCAGUCAUGUCCUAUGAGACCCCAUGGACUGUAGCUCGCCAGGCUUCUCUGUCCAUGGGAUUUUGCAGAUUCUGGAAAAACCUGUCCAUGCCUCUCAACUAGCUUCUGGACACGGCUGGUAACCUUGGCCUUCCUUGACUGGUAGACACACGGCUCCAAUCUCUGCCUCCGUCUUCACGUGCCAUCUUCUCCCAUGUAUCUAUCUUCACCUGGUCCUCUCCUCUUUGUCUCUCUCCUCAUCUUAAAAGUUCACCAACCAUGUGGGAUCAAGGGACCAUCCCAUUCCAGUGUGAAUUUAUUUU